rnacentral:rRNA from 1 species
GAUGAACGCUAGCGGCAGGCCUAAUACAUGCAAGUCGAACGGUGUAGCAAUACACAGUGGCGCACGGGUGCGUAACACGUAUGCAACCUACCUUACAUUGGGGGAUAGCCUUUCGAAAGGGAGAUUAAUACCGCAUAAGACAGUAACUAGGCAUCUAGUAGCUGUUAAAGAUUUAUCGAUGUAAGCUGGGCAUGCGUCCAAUUAGUUAGUUGGCGAGGUAAUGGCUCACCAAGACGAUGAUUGGUAGGGGAACUGAGAGGUCAAUCCCCCACACUGGCACUGAGAUACGGGCCAGACUCCUACGGGAGGCAGCAGUAGGGAAUAUUGGGCAAUGGGCGCAAGCCUGGCCCAGCCAUGCCGCGUGCAGGAAGAAGGCGUUAUGCGUUGUAAACUGCUUUUAUACAGGAAGAAACGACCCUUGCGAGGGGCGUUGACGGUACUGUAUGAAUAAGCACCGGCUAACUCCGUGCCAGCAGCCGCAGUAACAC